rnacentral:rRNA from 1 species
UACGUAGGGGACAAGCGUUGUCCGGAAUCAUUGGGCGUAAAGAGCGCGUAGGCGGUCCGGUAAGUCCGCUCUGAAAGUCCGGGGCUCAACCCCGGGAGGCGGGCGGAUACUGUCGGGCUAGAGUCCGGAAGAGGCGAGUGGAAUUCCUGGUGUAGCGGUGAAAUGCGCAGAUAUCAGGAGGAACACCAAUGGCGAAGGCAGCUCGCUGGGACGGUACUGACGCUGAGGCGCGAAAGCGUGGGGAGCGAACAGG